AGGACGAACGCUGGCGGCGUGCUUAACACAUGCAAGUCGAGCGGAAAGGCCCUUCGGGGUACUCGAGCGGCGAACGGGUGAGUAACACGUGAGCAACCUGCCCUUAGCUUCGGGAUAGCUCCGGGGAACCGGAAUUAAUACCGAAUAUGACUUUGGCUGACAUCAGCAGAAGUGGAAAGUUUUUCGGCUAGGGAUGGACUCGCGGCCUAUCAGCUAGUUGGUGAGGUAACGGCCCACCAAGGCGACGACGGGUAGCCGGCCUGAGAGGGCGACCGGCCACACUGGGACUGAGACACGGCCCAGACUCCUACGGGAGGCAGCAGUGGGGAAUAUGCGCAAUGGGCGAAAGCCUGACGCAGCGACGCCGCGUGGGGGAUGAAUGCCUUCGGUUGUAAACCCCUUUCAGCAGGGACGAAGCGAAAGUGACGGUACCUGCAGAAGAAGCGCCGGCUAACUACGCGCCAGCACGCCGC
rnacentral:rRNA from 1 species